AUACGUAGGUGGCAAGCGUUGUCCGGAAUUACUGGGUGUAAAGGGUGCGUAGACGGGAUGUAAAGUCAGAUGUGAAAUACCGGGGCUCAACUCCGGGGCUGCAUUUGAAACUUACAAUCUUGAGUGCAGGAGAGGAAAGCGGAAUUCCUAGUGUAGCGGUGAAAUGCGUAGAUAUUAGGAGGAACACCAGUGGCGAAGGCGGCUUUCUGGACUGUAACUGACGUUGAGGCACGAAAGCGUGGGGAGCAAACAGGAUUAGAUACCCUGGUAGUCCACGCUGUAAACGAUGGAUACUAGGUGUGGGAGGUAUCGACCCCUUCCGUGCCGGAGUUAACACAAUAAGUAUCCCACCUGGGGAGUACGGCCGCAAGGUUGAA
rnacentral:rRNA from 1 species